rnacentral:lncRNA from 1 species
AUGGUGUGGGGGUUACCUUGUUGGGGAAUACAGUAUCUAUCUCCUCCUGCAGUUUGGUCAUGGUGUGGGGGUUACCUUGUUGGGGAACACAGUAUCUAUCUCCUCCUGCAGUUUGGUCAUGGUGUGGGGGUUACCUUGUUGGGGAACACAGUAUCUAUCUCCUCCUGCAGUUUGGUCAUGGUGUGGGGGUUACCUUGUUGGGGAACACAGUAUCUAUCUCCUCCUGCAGUUUGGUCAUGGUGUGGGGGUUACCUUGUUGGGGAACACAGUAUCUAUCUCCUCCUGCAGUUUGGUCAUGGUGUGGGGGUUACCUUGUUGGGGAACACAGUAUCUAUCUCCUCCUGCAGUUUGGUCAUGGUGUGGGGGUUACCUUGUUGGGGAACACAGUAUCUAUCUCCUUCUGCAGUUUGGUCAUGGUGUGGGGGUUACCUUGUUGGGGAACACAGUAUCUAUCUCCUCCUGCAGUUUGGUCAUGGUGUGGGGGUUACCUUGUUGGGGAAUACAGUAUCUAUCUCCUCCUGCAGUUUGGUCAUGGUGUGGGGGUUACCUUGUUGGGGAAUACAGUAUCUAUCUCCUCCUGCAGUUUGGUCAUGGUGUGGGGGUUACCUUGUUGGGGAACACAGUAUCUAUCUCCUCCUGCAGUUUGGUCAUGGUGUGGGGGUUACCUUGUUGGGGAAUACAGUAUCUAUCUCCUCCUGCAGUUUGGUCAUGGUGUGGGGGUUACCUUGUUGGGGAACACAGUAUCUAUCUCCUCCUGCAGUUUGGUCAUGGUGUGGGGGUUACCUUGUUGGGGAACACAGUAUCUAUCUCCUCCUGCAGUUUGGUCAUGGUGUGGGGGUUACCUUGUUGGGGAACACAGUAUCUAUCUCCUCCUGCAGUUUGGUCAUGGUGUGGGGGUUACCUUGUUGGGGAACACAGUAUCUAUCUCCUUCUGCAGUUUGGUCAUGGUGUGGGGGUUACCUUGUUGGGGAACACAGUAUCUAUCUCCUCCUGCAGUUUGGUCAUGGUGUGGGGGUUACCUUGUUGGGGAACACAGUAUCUAUCUCCUCCUGCAGUUUGGUCAUGGUGUGGGGGUUACCUUGUUGGGGAACACAGUAUCUAUCUCCUCCUGCAGUUUGGUCAUGGUGUGGGGGUUACCUUGUUGGGGAACACAGUAUCUAUCUCCUCCUGCAGUUUGGUCAUGGUGUGGGGGUUACCUUGUUGGGGAACACAGUAUCUAUCUCCUCCUGCAGUUUGGUCAUGGUGUGGGGGUUACCUUGUUGGGGAACACAGUAUCUAUCUCCUCCUGCAGUUUGGUCAUGGUGUGGGGGUUACCUUGUUGGGGAACACAGUAUCUAUCUCCUCCUGCAGUUUGGUCAUGGUGUGGGGGUUACCUUGUUGGGGAACACAGUAUCUAUCUCCUCCUGCAGUUUGGUCAUGGUGUGGGGGAUACCUUGUUGGGGAACACAGUAUCUAUCUCCUCCUGCAGUUUGGUCAUGGUGUGGGGGAUACCUUGUUGGGGAACACAGUAUCUAUCUCCUCCUGCAGUUUGGUCAUGGUGUAGGGGUUACCUUGUUGGGGAACACAGUAUCUAUCUCCUCCUGCAGUUUGGUCAUGGUGUGGGGGUUACCUUGUUGGGGAACACAGUAUCUAUCUCCUCCUGCAGUUUGGUCAUGGUGUGGGGGAUACCUUGUUGGGGAACACAGUAUCUAUCACCUCCUGCAGUUUGGUCAUGGUGUGGGGGAUACCUUGUUGGGGAACACAGUAUCUAUCUCCUCCUGCAGUUUGGUCAUGGUGUGGGGGUUACCUUGUUGGGGAACACAGUAUCUAUCUCCUCCUGCAGUUUGGUCAUGGUGUGGGGGUUACCUUGUUGGGGAACACAGUAUCUAUCUCCUCCUGCAGUUUGGUGAUGGUGUGGGGGUUACCUUGUUGGGGAACACAGUAUCUACCUCCUCCUGCAGUUUGGUCAUGGUGUGGGGGUUACCUUGUUGGGGAACACAGUAUCUAUCUCCUCCUGCAGUUUGGUCAUGGUGUGGGGGUUACCUUGUUGGGGAACACAGUAUCUAUCUCCUCCUGCAGUUUGGUCAUGGUGUGGGGGUUACCUUGUUGGGGAACACAGUAUCUAUCUCCUCCUGCAGUUUGGUCAUGGUGUGGGGGUUACCUUGUUGGGGAACACAGUAUCUAUCUCCUCCUGCAGUUUGGUCAUGGUGUGGGGGUUACCUUGUUGGGGAACACAGUAUCUAUCUCCUCCUGCAGUUUGGUCAUGGUGCGGGGGUUACCUUGUUGGGGAACACAGUAUCUAUCUCCUCCUGCAGUUUGGUCAUGGUGUGGGGGUUACCUUGUUGGGGAACACAGUAUCUAUCACCUCCUGCAGUUUGA